UACGUAGGGGGCGAGCGUUGUCCGGAUUUAUUGGGCGUAAAGAGCGUGUAGGCGGCCAGGUAGGUCUGCUGUGAAAACUCGAGGCUUAACCUCGAGCUGGCGGCGGAAACCAUCUGGCUAGAGUCCGGAAGAGGAGAAUGGAAUUCCCGGUGUAGCGGUGAAAUGCGCAGAUAUCGGGAAGAACACCCGUGGCGAAGGCGGUUCUCUGGGACGGUACUGACGCUGAGACGCGAAAGCGUGGGGAGCGAACAGG
rnacentral:rRNA from 1 species